UUCACUUAUCACUCUCCUUAGUUCAUUCUUCAAAAUGAUGUGCCCUGCCCAGUCCCUGUUUCUGCUAAUGCUCUGGAUUCUAGGAACCAAUGGUGACAUUGUGAUGACCCAGACUCCACUCUCUUUGUCUGUUACUAUUGGACAAUCAGCCUCCAUCUCUUGCCAGGCAAGUCAAAGCAUCUUAUACAGUGAUGGAAAAACCUAUUUGAACUGGUUUUUACAGAGGCCAGGCCAGUCUCCACAGAGAUUACUCUAUUUGGUGUCUAAACUGGAUUCAGGAAUCCCUGACAGGUUCAGUGGCAGUGGGUCAGGCACAGAUUUCACACUCAAAAUCAGCAGAGUGGAGGCUGAGGAUUUGGGAGUUUAUUACUGCAUGCAAGCUUCAUAUAUUCCUCCCACAGUGAUACAGACCCUAACAAAAAUCUCCUUGCUUGAGGCAGCCCAGCUGCUAAUGUGCUUAUUAACUGAAAAGGAGAGCACUGUGCAUCUGUGUGAGAGGGAUUGGCUGGGGAACUUGUGA